UACGUAGGGUGCGAGCGUUAAUCGGAAUUACUGGGCGUAAAGCGUGCGCAGGCGGUCUGUUAAGACCGAUGUGAAAUCCCCGGGCUUAACCUGGGAACUGCAUUGGUGACUGGCAGGCUUUGAGUGUGGCAGAGGGAGGUAGAAUUCCACGUGUAGCAGUGAAAUGCGUAGAGAUGCGGAGGAACACCGAUGGCGAAGGCAGCCCCCUGGGCUAACACUGACGCUGAGGCACGAAAGCGUGGGGAGCAAACAGG
rnacentral:rRNA from 1 species